GCACCAACAUUACCUCAACUUCCCAGUUCAGCCGAUGUACUCACUGCUGCGAUUCAAAGUUAUGUAACAAUCAAGCGUGUGGUGAACCGUGAUAUCCAUCAGAUAGGGGGCCUAUUUGCUACAGCUGCCAUAAUCCGGUACCAGCGGGCAGAUGUCACAAUAUUGACUUUUGUAGAAAGGGGGAGGCUUGUGGGGCUCACCUUUCUGGUGGUCUAUUGGUCGGAAAGCGAGAUAUUCUCAAAGAACGAUCCUACGACGUCCAUGACUGCGACUCGUGCUGUAACACUGAUC